rnacentral:rRNA from 1 species
CCUACGGGUGGCAGCAGUGGGGAAUAUUGGACAAUGGGGGGAACCCUGAUCCAGCCAUGCCGCGUGUGUGAAGAAGGCCCUCGGGUUGUAAAGCACUUUCAGUGAGGAAGAACGCCUGGUGGUUAAUACCCAUCAGGAAAGACAUCACUCACAGAAGAAGCACCGGCUAACUCCGUGCCAGCAGCCGCGGUAAUACGGAGGGUGCGAGCGUUAAUCGGAAUUACUGGGCGUAAAGCGCGCGUAGGUGGCUUGAUAAGCCGGUUGUGAAAGCCCCGGGCUCAACCUGGGAACGGCAUCCGGAACUGUCAAGCUAGAGUGCAGGAGAGGAAGGUAGAAUUCCCGGUGUAGCGGUGAAAUGCGUAGAGAUCGGGAGGAAUACCAGUGGCGAAGGCGGCCUUCUGGACUGACACUGACACUGAGGUGCGAAAGCGUGGGUAGCAAACAGGAUUAGAUACCCCUGUAGUA